rnacentral:lncRNA from 1 species
UAUAAGCCAAACAAUUGAUUGCAUAAUAUGAAGGCUUAUAUAAUUCCAAAUGAAAGGGGGAGCUUUAACUCCGAAAUUUAUUGUUCACACCUUUCAAACUUGGAUAAAUUAAAUUACCAGACAUCUGAAUUCAUUUAUGGAUUUUACUUCCUUGUUUAUAGAGCAAUUCACUUUACAUAUACUCAAUAUUUUGUCAUCAUCAAAAAGGGGGAGAUUGUGGAGUGAUUGAUUAAAACCCUAUUUGAUUUUGAUGAGCUCAAAGCAUUUGAGUAUAUCUCUUGUUUACUAAUGAAUUCAAUUAAGUGUUUCAGUGAAAAUCUUGUCUAAGUGUCUCUAGACUUAGUUCACAAUAUUUUGGAUAAGUUAAGAAGUCAGCUUGAAUCAAAGUCUGAGACUCGAGUCGACUCCAGAGUAUCACGAGUCGACUCCAAGCGUAUCAAGUUCACUGGCACGAGCUCGAGUCGACUCCGGAUCAGUACGAGUCGACUCUG